UUAAAUUCAGCGGGUAGUCUUGCUUGAGCUGAGAUCAAAGUUUCAAUAGAGUUGAAGUAAAAGUUAAAAGAGACCGACUUAAUGCCCAAGUCCCGACAUAGUGCUUGAUGCCCAGAGGACAAUUGCCACACUAGUGGUAUCAAGGACGCCAAUAUCCUUCACCUACCUGAAUUUAAAGGGACCCAUCGCUUGCGCGAUGU
rnacentral:misc_RNA from 1 species